GAAAAUAAAGUAGUACUAUCCAAGUGAAAAUUUUGAUAACAAGCCCUUGAGUUGCUUAUAUUUACAGAAACAAAGGACCAAAGUGAAAAUAUUCACCGCCGCCGUUGUUCUGGCUGUGGGUGUGCCUCCGGCCUCCCCGGAGGAGGAGAUGGGCCGUCGGGCGGCGGAGGAGCGUCGGCGGCGGAGAACCAUGGCGUCGCGGCUGCCCCGUCCCUGAGAUCACCGUUGCUGAGCAGGUGAGGUGAGCUUCAUGCCCUCAGAGUUCAAAUGCUGUCCAUGUGUGCCCACUGGUCCCGGAGGAGGAGGAGAUUAGCCGCCGAGCAGCGGCGGCGGAGACGCAUGGAGUCGCGGCUACCCGUCCCUGAGAAUGAGAUCACUGAUGUUAAGGACAAUUUGCAAGCGGUAGGUUGGCGUGUUGACUCUGAGUUAGUCAGGACAACAAAACCAACAAGGCAACAAGACAUUCCCUGUUCAGUUGUUCCUUUAAUCCCAUCAUCUACUUCGCUCUAUCAAUCCGAGGCUGCAAACAAGAAGCUAGCUGUAUCUUUUCUCUGAAAUCUGAUGGAGAAGGCGGCGGCAGCGAUGGUGGUAGCGGCAGCGGCGACGGCGGUGGCGGUUGCGCAUACCCUUGUAUUUUGGCUCAACCGCAACUCACAGCUAUGAUUAAUCGCAGGCUGAAAGGAUUCUUUCACUGGAGGCAGACCUCAACCGGCAAUCUGAGAAUACACUCAAAGAAAAAGAAGAGCAUGAGAAAACGAGAACUGAGCUUGAAGUAAAGGAGAAGCAACUUGAAGAAGAGAGACAAAACCACACAUUGACUGUCCAAAGACAUGGUGAAGAACUCGAAAGGCAGAGCAGAGAAUUGGAAAGACAGCGCGAAGAACUAGAAAGACAGGGCAGAGAACUCAAAAUGAAGGACGGAAAACUCAAUAGGAUGAAAACCUUGACAAUAGUUUAUGAGAAAUUCCGUCAAUGGAUUGAGGGUGAAGCUUCAAACUCCAGUAGUGGCUUCACUGAGUUCAGUCACUCAGAGGUAGACGAUUCAAUCCCAAAGGACCAAAAAUAUCAUCUCGGGAAAGGCAGUUAUGGCAUCGUUUACAAGGCAGAACCUCGGGGCAAGACUGUUGCUAUGAAGAUUCUUGAUAAGAGUAGCUGGCAAGGAGAGCGGGAGUUCAAGCAAGAGGUGGGGAUACUCAAAAGGAUCAGACACCCAAACCUGGUCAUUCUCCUGGGAGCAUGCAGUGAGAAAUUUGCACUCAUGUAUGAGUUUUUACCUUCUGGCACCCUUGAAGAUUGCCUCAGUAAAGAAGAACGCAAGGAAUCAUUCUCAUGGGAAGAGAGUCAGAGUGGCAACCAGCAUAUGCUCUGCUCUUGUAUUCCUCCACAAUACCAAGCCUAAUCCAAUAGCUCACGGUGAUCUUAAACCAAGCAACAUCCUCUUCGAUGCAGAAAAUGUAUGCAAGCUCAGUGAUUUUGGAAUUUCCCGUCUGUUACAGCACAGCACUGACACAGUAAUACCUAACCAUAUUACAGAAGUGCCAAAGGGUAGCGGCCCCUAUAUGGAUCCUGAAUUCAUGAGUACAGGCAAACUGACUCCUCAGUCAGAUGUAUUCGCUUUGGGUAUCAUAUUGCUGCAGCUAGUCACAGGCCAAAGUGCAACCGGCCUAAGAAAGCAUAUGGUUGAUAAAUUGGAAAGGCAAAAUUUGGGGAAAAUGGACACACGCAGGCAAAAGAUGAUCCUUGAGAAACUUCAAAUCUUGGAUGAUAAAUUGAAGUUGGACGACAAGUUUAUACAGGAUUCUAUAAGGAUGCUGUCCCUGGGCCUAAGAUGCAGCUAUAACGAAAGGAAACGGCGUCCAAACUUGGAAGCUGAAGUUUGGCCUGAGAUUGAGUCAAUGAAUAAAUCAGAAUGCCUCUAGCGGUAAGAUGAAGUUGAUUGACUGGUGUCCAUUGAAACAAGUAAUUGCUAAGAAGCAUAGCAGAUAAAUCAGUUCUUUUGGUUGCAAAUUUAUAUAUUCUAAAUGUGUGCUGGAACUAACUCUGUACUCGAUAAAAUCUCCCUAUAUGUUAGCUGAGGUUCAUUAAUUAUAUGCAGCUAUGCAGAUGAAACCUCAAGCCUGGACUGUUUAUUUUGUUUAUGCUUAAUCCGCCGGAGUCUGAUUGUCCCUAUAUGUUUUCUGUAGUCGACUUACUUUUGUCCCAACUGUUGAUUGGAUUAUUUGUUUAUCUUUUU